rnacentral:rRNA from 1 species
GACGAACGCUGGCGGCGUGCUUAACACAUGCAAGUCGAACGGAAAGGCCCUGCUUUUGUGGGGUGCUCGAGUGGCGAACGGGUGAGUAACACGUGAGUAACCUGCCCUUGACUUUGGGAUAACUUCAGGAAACUGGGGCUAAUACCGGAUAGGAGCUCCUGCUGCAUGGUGGGGGUUGGAAAGUUUCGGCGGUUGGGGAUGGACUCGCGGCUUAUCAGCUUGUUGGUGGGGUAGUGGCUUACCAAGGCUUUGACGGGUAGCCGGCCUGAGAGGGUGACCGGCCGCAUUGGGACUGAGAUACGGCCCAGACUCCUACGGGAGGCAGCAGUGGGGAGUAUUGCACAGUGGGCGGAAGCCUGAUGCAGCAACGCCGCGUGCGGGAUGACGGCCUUCGGGUUGUAAACCGCUUUCGCCUGUGACGAAGCGUGAGUGACGGUAAUGGGUAAAGAAGCACCGGCUAACUACGUG